rnacentral:rRNA from 1 species
GAUGAACGCUGGCGGCGUGCCUAAUACAUGCAAGUCGAGCGAACAGAUGAGGAGCUUGCUCCUCUGACGUUAGCGGCGGACGGGUGAGUAACACGUGGAUAACCUACCUAUAAGACUGGGAUAACUUCGGGAAACCGGAGCUAAUACCGGAUAAUAUAUUGAACCGCAUGGUUCAAUAGUGAAAGACGGUUUUGCUGUCACUUAUAGAUGGAUCCGCGCCGCAUUAGCUAGUUGGUAAGGUAACGGCUUACCAAGGCGACGAUGCGUAGCCGACCUGAGAGGGUGAUCGGCCACACUGGAAUUGAGACACGGUCCAGACUCCUACGGGAGGCAGCAGUAGGGAAUCUUCCGCAAUGGGCGAAAGCCUGACGGAGCAACGCCGCGUGAGUGAUGAAGGUCUUCGGAUCGUAAAACUCUGUUAUUAGGGAAGAACAAAUGUGUAAGUAACUAUGCACGUCUUGACGGUACCUAAUCAGAAAGCCACGGCUAACUACGUG